GGUAACACUAUACUUAUUGCUACUUUGUUUACAUUAUUUUUAAUUGUUUUUAUUUUGAUUUCAGGUGGAGUAUGCAGCCGUGGAGAACAUCACUACGUCUAUUGGUCUCGUCAUCAGCUGCGAAGUGGAAUCCUUGCGAGUGUCGGCGCUAAACUGGGACUGCAGGACAGCAUCAACAGGGCUGAAGCUGGCCGAGGUCCAGUGCAUCGUCAUUCUGGAUGUGGAUUUCGAUUUUCUGUGAAGUUUCUUUUCAGCCGCCGCCAUCAUCUGGAUUCUGGAGCUGCCGCUGUUCAUCAUCAGGUUCUCUGCUGGGGGCGUCAUUUGCCUGCGUAGCAGCUGCAUUUGCGCUACUGCGGCUGAUUUCCAUGUUGUGUGUUGCAAAUGGAUUGCGCAGCCAGUUCUCGCGUCUGACUUGGAGCAGUAUUGUUUGGAUGGCUGUCAGGCUUCUGUUGCUGUUUGGAUUGUGCUCUUCAAUCAUUGCGGUAUACCUUGGCCUGGCCAGCCUUCUUGGAAUGUAUGGGUGCGUUGCAAUCUCACAGGUAUGGCAUGACGGAUUUUUUGGCCAGGAGUUGCCCGGCUAACCUUGGAGCUGGAGUGUGUUGCUGCGCAGACCAUGAUAAUGCA
rnacentral:misc_RNA from 15 species